AGUGAACGCUGGCGGUAGGCCUAACACAUGCAAGUCGAACGGCGGCACAGUAAGAGCUUGCUCUUACGGGUGGCGAGUGGCGGACGGGUGAGGAAUACAUCGGAAUCUACUUUUUCGUGGGGGAUAACGUAGGGAAACUUACGCUAAUACCGCAUACGACCUACGGGUGAAAGCAGGGGAUCUUCGGACCUUGCGCGAUUGAAUGAGCCGAUGUCGGAUUAGCUAGUUGGCGGGGUAAAGGCCCACCAAGGCGACGAUCCGUAGCUGGUCUGAGAGGAUAAUCAGCCACACUGGAACUGAGACACGGUCCAGACUCCUACGGGAGGCAGCAGUGGGGAAUAUUGGACAAUGGGCGCAAGCCUGAUCCAGCCAUACCGCGUGGGUGAAGAAGGCCUUCGGGUUGUAAAGCCCUUUUGUUGGGAAAGAAAAGCAGCAGGUUAAUACCCCGCUGUUCUGACGGUACCCAAAGAAUAAGCACCGGCUAACUUCGU
rnacentral:rRNA from 1 species